GACACAGAGGGUUUAACAUACUAUAACAAUGGACACAUCCAAUACAGAUGGAGGAAAACAGACACAGAGGGUUUAACAUACUAUAACAAUGGACACAUCCAAUACAGAUGGAGGAAAACAGACAGAGGGUUUAACAUACUAUAACAAUGGACACAUCCAAUACAGAUGGAGGAAAACAGACACAGAGGGUUUAACAUACUAUAACAAUGGACACAUCCAAUACAGAUGGAGGAAAACAGUCACAGCGGGUUUAACAUACUAUAACAAUGGACACAUCCAAUACAGAUGGAGGAAAACAGUCACAGAGGGUUUAACAUACUAUAACAAUGGACACAUCCAAUACAGAUGGAGGAAAACAGACAGAGGGUUUAACAUACUAUAACAAUGGACACAUCCAAUACAGAUGGAGGAAAACAGACACAGAGGGUUUAACAUACUAUAACAAUGGACACAUCCAAUACAGAUGGAGGAAAACAGACACAGAGGGUUUAACAUACUAUAACAAUGGACACAUCCAAUACAGAUGGAGGAAAACAGACAGAGGGUUUAACAUACUAUAACAAUGGACACAUCCAAUACAGAUGGAGGAAAACAGACACAGAGGGUUUAACAUACUAUAACAAU